GUGCAGCAGGCGAGAAUUUUUCACAAUGGGGGAAACCCUGAUGGAGCGACGCCGCGUGGAGGAUGAAGGCGUUUUCGUCGUAAACUCCUGUCAUGCGAGAACAAGAAAGUGAUAGUAUCGCAAGAGGAAGAGGCGGCUAACUCUGUGCCAGCAGCCGCGGUAAUACAGAGGCCUCAAGUGUUGUUCGGAUUCAUUGGGCGUAAAGGGUGCGUAGGUGGCAUGGUAAGUUGAAGGUGAAAUCUCGGAGCUCAACUCCGAAACUGCCUUCAAUACUGCUGUGCUCGAGGACUGUAGAGGAGAAUGGAAUUCACGGUGUAGCAGUGAAAUGCGUAGAUAUCGUGAGGAAGACCAGUGGCGAAGGCGAUUCUCUGGGCAGUUCCUGACACUGAGGCACGAAGGCUAGGGGAGCAAACGGGAUUAGAUACCCGUGUAGU
rnacentral:rRNA from 1 species